AUAGGGGUAAGGUGUGCGCGUGUGCGUUCAUAGGGGUGAGUGUAUGCGCGUGUAUAUGAGCGCUUGCGUCUGUACUGUGUUAAAAAAAUCUAGUUGGGCCACCAAUUAGAAAGAUUAUGUUACCUAAUAGAGAGCACCAGGGGAACAACAGAUCAAUAUGCAUGUUCUGCACUGUUUGCCUAUAGAACCAUACCGUUCAUAUGUCAUUGUGAGCCUCCAAAUUCUGUUAAGAUGAUGUAUUGCUUAAAGCCAUAACAUGCAUGUUAGCCAGCAAGAAUGCUGCAAUCCCUCUAAUAAAAAUGGGAAAUUACCCUACAAUUUGGGGAGGAAAAUAGUAGAUCCAUGGCUGUCUAAUUCUACACAAACAUGAUUAAACAAAGUCAGAUAGCAAUUUAUUAGAGAUGGAGGAACUUGCCGUAUGUGUUCCAUGUAUACACCAGAUAUUGCCUUGGAUGACCAGCUGCUUCACAACUCAUGCACCUGGCUUGGACCCAGAAAAAAUAAGAUGCCGUCCCAUGCCCAUUCUCUCGGUGGCGCUUAGAUCACUUUUCCUGGCCGAUGCCAGGGGCCUCAAUUCUCUCAACUGAACUGCAACAACAUUCUUUUUUGUAUGAUCCAGAUCAAAUAGAAAGAAUAUAAGAUAGGAUGGAACAAAACUGAACCAAAUAAAUUUUUAUCUGCAGUGUAUAGUAGCUAGCAUCAAAAUCAGCAAUUUGUAGGAAUCAAACUUAGGGUUCAUAAGAGAAAUAACAAAUAACUGCAUACAUCACUUGCUAGUUAGGUACAAAACCACACAGUAAAGGUCAUCCAUACCUAUUCUAGACCACGCAAUCCUCAGCAGUUCUCCAUGGCGUCUGUCCAGCAGGCGAAUGCAUCGCUGCAACAGCUUUGCCUGAGUGUCAUCGCAGAGAACUUUCCAUUGCAGCAGAUAUAAGCUUAGUUUUGAUACGACACAUCUGGCAUCUCUCCAGGUACGCCCCU
rnacentral:lncRNA from 1 species